rnacentral:rRNA from 1 species
UACGGGGGGGGGCAAGCGUUGUUCGGAAUUACUGGGCGUAAAGGGCGCGUAGGCGGCCUGCUAAGUCGGAUGUGAAAUCCCUCGGCUCAACCGAGGAACUGCAUCCGAUACUGGCGGGCUUGAAUCCGGGAGAGGGAUGUGGAAUUCCAGGUGUAGCGGUGAAAUUCGUAGAUAUCGGGAGGAACACCGGUGGCGAAGGCGGCGACCUGGGUCGAUACUGACGCUGAUGCGCGAAAGCGUGGGGAGCAAACAGG